rnacentral:pre_miRNA from 1 species
AUCACCUGGGGAUCUUGUUAAAAUACAGAUUCCAACUGAGUAGGGCUGAGGUUGGGUCUGAGAUUCUGCAUUUUUAACAAGCUCCUGGGUGAUCCUGA